rnacentral:rRNA from 1 species
UACGAAGGGGGCUAGCGUUGCUCGGAAUCACUGGGCGUAAAGCGCACGUAGGCGGAUUCCUAAGUCGGGGGUGAAAUCCUGGAGCUUAACUCCAGAACUGCCUUUGAUACUGGCGACCUUGAGUCCGGGAGAGGUGAGUGGAACUGCGAGUGUAGAGGUGAAAUUCGUAGAUAUUCGCAAGAACACCAGUGGCGAAGGCGGCUCACUGGCCCGGUACUGACGCUGAGGUGCGAAAGCGUGGGGAGCAAACAGG